rnacentral:rRNA from 1 species
GUAGGUGGCAAGCGUUGUCCGGAAUUAUUGGGCGUAAAGCGCGCGCAGGCGGUUCUUUAAGUCUGAUGUGAAAGCCCACGGCUCAACCGUGGAGGGUCAUUGGAAACUGGAGAACUUGAGUACAGAAGAGGAAAGCGGAAUACCACGUGUAGCGGUGAAAUGCGUAGAGAUGUGGAGGAACACCAGUGGCGAAGGCGGCUUUCUGGUCUGUAACUGACGCUGAGGCGCGAAAGCGUGGGGAGCAAACAGGGAUUAGAUACCCUGGUAGUCCACGCCGUAAACGAUGAGUGCUAAGUGUUAGGGGGGUUUCCGCCCCCUUAGUGCUGCAGCUAACGCAUUAAGCACUCCGCCUGGGGAUACGGCCGCAAGGCUG